AGCGUAGGCGGACAUUUAAGUCAGGGGUGAAAUCCCGGGGCUCAACCUCGGAAUUGCCUUUGAUACCGGGUGUCUUGAGUAUGAGAGAGGUGUGUGGAACUCCGAGUGUAGAGGUGAAAUUCGUAGAUAUUCGGAAGAACACCAGUGGCGAAGGCGACACACUGGCUCAUUACUGACGCUGAGGCUCGAAAGCGUGGGGAGCAAACA
rnacentral:rRNA from 1 species